UACGAAGGUCCCAAGCGUUAUCCGGAAUUAUUGGGCGUAAAGCGCAUGUAGGCGGUUUGUUAAGUCUGGUGUGAAAGCUCAAGGCCUAACCUUGAAAUUGCAUUGGAAACUGGCAAACUAGAAUACUGGAGGGGUAAGUGGAAUUCCAUGUGUAGCGGUGGAAUGCGUAGAUAUCGGGAGGAACACCAGUGGCGAAGGCGGCUACCUGGACCGGUUCUGACACUGAGGAGCGAAAGCGUGGGGAGCGAGCCGG
rnacentral:rRNA from 1 species